rnacentral:tRNA from 1 species
UAGUUUUUGGUGUUUAAACAAGCACAUUAAAUUUUGAAUUUAAAAGAAAUAAAUUUUAUUUUAUUAAAACUAA